rnacentral:rRNA from 1 species
UGAAUUGACGGGACCGCACAAGCGGUGGAUGAUGUGGUUAAUUCGAUGCAACGCGAAAAACCUUACCCACCUUUGACAUGUACGGAACCCUUUAGAGAUAGAGGGGUGCUCGAAAGAGAGCCGUAACACAGGUGCUGCAUGGCUGUCGUCAGCUCGUGUCGUGAGAUGUUGGGUUAAGUCCCGCAACGAGCGCAACCCUUGUCAUUAGUUGCUACAUUCAGUUGGGCACUCUAAUGAGACUGCCGGUGACAAGCCGGAGGAAGGUGGGGAUGACGUCAAGUCCUCAUGGCCCUUAUAGGUGGGGCUACACACGUCAUACAAUGGCUGGUACAAAGGGUUGCCAACCCGCGAGGGGGAGCCAAUCCCAUAAAGCCAGUCGUAGUCCGGAUCGUAGUCUGCAACUCGACUACGUGAAGUCGGAAUCGCUAGUAAUCGUGGAUCAGAAUGUCACGGUGAAUACGUUCCCGGGUCUU